AUUUUUUGGCGGCCUUUUUUCUUCCUAGAGGAACUUACUUUCUAAUCGAUAAUGCGCGAUAAAUUUCACUUUUUUUCAAGUUUUUAUACCGCCGUCUAAAGAUCUAAUUUUAAUUUUUCAUCCCUUGGAUCAAGUAAAAAAGUCAGGUCAAGGUGAAGCUUAUAAAAAAGAUAAAACCGAGUUACUUAUUUUUUAUAAAAAUGAAUUCCAAGCUAAAGCCUAAAUGAAAAAGGAUCUAGUAGUAACAUAACUUUAAAAUAGGUAUGUGAAUUACUUAAUGAGGUGUACAUAUCGCCCGUCACCCUCAUCUAAAGA
rnacentral:rRNA from 1 species